rnacentral:lncRNA from 1 species
UUGUGUACCCCAAACUAAGUGUCAAUUAGCUGGCUCUAGGCAUCUGGUCGCUGUUUCCGCUAUCGAACUUUACAUUUCUUGCAAGGGCAGAGGAUAUGCAAUCCAUCUGCAGAGUUUGAGAAAGCAAAAUCUAGAAAGGGUUGAAUGCCAUCCCAAUAUUCUGGACGGGUUCGCUGAAGUGAUAUCCAAGACUUAUCCAUAAUAAGUUAAACUCCUAAUAUAUAAGCUAAAGUACAUAAAUGUUCGCCGGUUAAAUUGAUAGGUUACCAAAAAAGUUGAACCAAGUCAUUAUCUACCAUAUGUGCUCAAUUAUAAACUUAAAUAAAAUUAAUAGAAUUCAUUCCACACUUGUUACUAACUAGCUAAUUAACAUAAUUAAUAGUUCUAUUUCAAUUCUAAUGCAAAUUACUGAAACUUAUAAACUUUCAAUUAAGCAUAGUAAUAAAACUAAUUAUCUUUCACAAACUCAUUUCUGAUUGGAAGUCUUAAUCCAACCACGUUCAAGCUUCCAAAAAUCUGAAAUGGUCAAAUCCCCAAAGCUGCAAUCAUUUUGAUUUCAUCAUCCAUAUUGUGAAUAUCAAUCAUGUGGCAAAGACAUGAAUCCCAUUAACAGACACGUAUCUAAAUAGAUUUACAUGAAAUCACUCUCCUACCUAAACUUAUAUUCUAUCACACUAUAUCACAAACACUUGGUUUUCCAGUUUUAGGUUUAUGACCGAAAAUAAAAAAUAAAAGGCAUAGAAACCAUAACAAGGAGAUGGAUGGUUUGGCAAUUUAUAUGAAUCGAAUUGCAAGAAAAAAGUGGGAUGAUUUUGGUGUAUAAAAUUUAUUUGGCCUUGUGCUAACAAACAAAACAAUAUUGAAAUUCAUUACCCAACAAAUAAUACCAAAAUCCCAUACCCAAAACCUAAAUCAAACGAACUUAUAUUUCCAUCUAAUCUAUAUAAACUUCUGCAUCUAACCUGAACCAAUUCAGAAAACAAGACUGAUAAGAGGGAACUAAUACCAGGAAGCAAAGGUCGUUGGUGAAGUAGACGUCGGAAAAAAAGAGGGUCGGAGAGGGAAGAAGAAUCGUCGCUAUUAAUGACGAUGACGGUGGAGGACGAACUGCUGCCGCCAGGGAAA